rnacentral:rRNA from 1 species
UACAGAGGUCCCAAGCGUUGUUCGGAUUCACUGGGCGUAAAGGGUGCGUAGGUGGUCGGGUAAGUCUGAUGUGAAAUCUCUGGGCUCAACCCAGAAAUGGCAUUGGAUACUAUCCGGCUAGAGGAGUGGAGGGGGAACUGGAAUACUUGGUGUAGCAGUGAAAUGCGCAGAUAUCAGGAGGAACACCGGUGGCGAAGGCGGUUCUCUGGGCAUUACCUGACGCUGAGGAGCGAAAGUGUGGGGAGCGAACAGG